rnacentral:rRNA from 1 species
GUAGGGAAUAUUGGACAAUGGGCGAAAGCCUGAUCCAGCAAUGCCGCGUGAGUGAUGAAGGCCUUAGGGUUGUAAAGCUCUUUUACCAGGGAUGAUAAUGACAGUACCUGGAGAAUAAGCUCCGGCUAACUCCGUGCCAGCAGCCGCGGUAAUACGGAGGGAGCUAGCGUUGUUCGGAAUUACUGGGCGUAAAGUGCACGUAGGCGGCGAUUUAAGUCAGAGGUGAAAGCCCGGGGCUCAACCCCGGAAUAGCCUUUGAGACUGGAUUGCUAGAAUCCUGGAGAGGUGAGUGGAAUUCCGAGUGUAGAGGUGAAAUUCGUAGAUAUUCGGAAGAACACCAGUGGCGAAGGCGGCUCACUGGACAGGUAUUGACGCUGAGGUGCGAAAGCGUGGGGAGCAAACAGGAUUAGAAACCCGUGUAGUCC